rnacentral:rRNA from 1 species
UACGUAGGGCGCAAGCGUGUCCGGAAUUAUUGGGCGUAAGGAGCUUGUAGGCGGUUUGUCGCGUCUGCUGUGAAAAUCCGGGGCUCAACCCCGGACUGCAGUGGGUACGGGCAGACUAGAGUGUGGUAGGGGAGACUGGAACUUCUGGUGGAGCGGUGAAAUGCGUUGAUAUCAGAAGGAACGGCCGGUGGCGAAAGCGACGGACUGGACCUCUUCUGAC